CAAGAAAAUGGCCCAAUCUGCUGAUUGAUUGUGACAAGGUGAAGGUGGAGCUUUGUGCAAUCUGAGGGGAGAAUUUCAGUCAGUGUUGGAUUCACUCUCUUGAAGCAGCUUCCGCCAUGUUACUGUUAGGACUUAUCUUGUUCAGUGCAACAGCAGGUAUUAACUUGGGUAAUACAAUCACAUCAAACCAAAACCAAAGUUUCAGUGAAGAUGGAUCUAAUGUCACCUUGUCCUGUAGCUACUCUACAACAGACUCUAGUCCAGGGUUGCAGUGGUAUGUCCAGUAUCCCAGAUCAGCUCCACAGUUCCUCCUGCUUGUGCUGCACGCCACUGGGAAAGACCCGAGCCCAGGCAAACAUCCUCGCCUGAUGGGGAAACUAAACCAAGAGAAAACUCAAGUGUUUCUGCAGAUCUCCUCUGUUCAAGGCUCUGACUCUGCGCUGUACUACUGUGCAUUGGCGCCCACAGUGACACGAAACCACAGACUGCAAUACAAAAACCUGACUGACACAGAAGUUUUAACUCAACACUCACAAAAAUACUGUAAAUGUAGGAGUGCAGUUGUCAUUUCAAACUGA